AUUCUUCCGCUUCCUGCCACCACGAGAAGAAGGACGUGUUUGCUUCCCCUUCCACCACAAUUUUAAGUUUCCUGAGGCCUUCCCCAGCCCUGCGGAACUAUUAAAUGAAAUGAAGACACUGAGCUCUGCAAGUACACUGCUUUUUGAAUCCCAGAGUGAACUUGCUUGUCAAAUGCCUCUUUAAAAAGAAAGUGAAGAUAACUGCAAGUCAGCUGGAAGUGCUGCCAAGAUAUGACCUCCAGGAAGGCCCAGAAGACAAGUGAUAUUGUGUGGACUGCUACAGCGCAAUGUCUAACUGAUGCAAAAUGAAGAAUCAAUUUGAAAUUAAGAUGAGUAAAGGCAUCCAGCACUUACAGCAAAAAACAUUGUCAUCAGGCCCUGGGGAGAUGAGGACACCUCCCUUCCCUUCUCAGGCUCCCUUUCCCUGUCAGACUCUAGCUCUCAAAGGCUGUCAUCCUCCAAGGGUAUUCCCUACGUACUGCAUAGCAUCUCUGUUACCCUUUGAAUUCAACAGUAUUCAUCUCCUCCAACAUUCAUUCAUUCCUUUAGUCAAAAGUCAGUUGUCAAACACAAGGCACAAGUGCACAUUUAAGGAAUUCAUGGCCAAUAUUUGUCAUGUCAUUUCAUGAAUUGUCUGAGAAACAUAAAACAUACAAUGAGGAUACUGAUCCAAGAUACAUGGCACACAAUUAAAUUGCGAAAAACAUGACUCUGAGUCCAAAAGUUCUUAUUUUUUCACAGUCUUCAGAGUAUUGUAUAGACCCCUUGAAAAAUAAAUUUGCAGAGUGUGAAUGUUAAUUACUGUCACCUUCAGAAAAGAGAUUUUACACAUGUAUAAAAGAGAAAUAGUGACUAUUCUAGAUUAUAGAGCACAGAAAGAAUUCUCAAACUAGUAUAACCCUAUUUCUCUAUAUCACAAAGACAUCUUGUAGGCAUGUUCCUCUGAAGGACUUGAGAAUUAUGCUUUUUUUCCUCCUUGUCUCUCUAAAAGCAAAAAGCACAGUAAUCUCGCUGAAGUAUAAUCAAAACAGAGCCUGAUGUGAAACCAGAGCCUUGAGUUUUCAUCCUGCAUUUGUUACUUAAAAGCUGACAUAAGAAAAAUUAUUUAACUUCUCUUAACCUCAGUUUCUUAUCUAUAAAAUGGGAUUAUAAAAUGUAUCUCACAAGGUAGUUAUGAGGAUUAAAGGAAAUGAAAAAAUGCUUAUUUGGUUUUGAAUCCUGGUUUGGUCUAGCUAUCAAUAAAACUCAUUAAGAUGGAA
ensembl:lncRNA novel transcript